UUUUGAGAAGAGCUGAUAGUCGCCUUAAGAAAAUCCCUGUCAUAUGCACUCUGGGAUUUGGACUCAAAUCCUAAUUAUACAGUUGCUGUUUCCACACUUACUCCUUCAUUGUAUCUUCCGUUAAAUUGUGUGGCCUUGGAAUGACUACAAGCAUUGUUAAGCUCAGGCUCAGCAGAGGGUGAGUUGGGAGCACAUUGGUUCAGGUUCAUGUGAUGUAUUUUUGUGACUAGCAAUUGCUCGUGUGAGGAUUUAGAUUACUGUAGCCAUUCCGGACUAGGAAUGGCUUCCGGGAAUAUUCUUUAC
rnacentral:lncRNA from 1 species